GACUGUGCAAAGGUAGCAUAAUCAAUUGACUUAUAAUUGAAGUCUGGAAUGAAGGAAUAUUCGGGGAAUAACUGUCUUUUAGGUAUUUUAUAAAAUUUGUUUAACAAGUGCAAAUACUUGUAUACUUUAAUUAGACGAGAAGACCCUAGAAACUUAAUUAAAUUUUGUUGGGGCGACAAAACUACAGUUAACUAGUUUUUUUGAACGUGAAGAAAAUCGGUAAGACAAAGUUACUCUAGGGAUAACAGCAUAAUUU
rnacentral:rRNA from 1 species